UACGGAGGGGGCUAGCGUUAUUCGGAAUGACUGGGCGUAAAGGGUGCGUAGGCGGUUUUUGAAGUAAGGCGUGAAAGCCCUGGGCUUAACCCAGGAACUGCGUUUUAAACUCGAGAACUCGAGGACGAAAGGGGAGAGUAGAAUUCCUAGUGUAGAGGUGAAAUUCGUAGAUAUUAGGAAGAAUACCAGAGGCGAAGGCGACUCUCUGGUUCGGAUCUGACGCUGAGGCACGAAAGCGUGGGGAGCAAACAGG
rnacentral:rRNA from 1 species